rnacentral:rRNA from 1 species
UACGUAGGGUGCACGCGUUAAUCGGAAUUACUGGGCGUAAAGCGUGCGCAGGCGGUUGUGUAAGCCAGAUGUGAAAUCCCCGGGCUCAACCUGGGAACUGCAUUUGUGACUGCACGGCUGGAGUGCGGCAGAGGGGGAUGGAAUUCCGCGUGUAGCAGUGAAAUGCGUAGAUAUGCGGAGGAACACCGAUGGCGAAGGCAAUCCCCUGGGCAUGCACUGACGCUCAUGCACGAAAGCGUGGGGAGCAAACAGG